rnacentral:lncRNA from 1 species
CGAGCAUCACUUGAGCUCCUCGUGUCUGUGCACCGGCUCAGCCAAUCAGCGCGCAGCGGCUCGGGGCCGUGUGUCUUUAAGAGUGUAAGGUGGGUGAGUCCGGCUCCUCCUGACGCGCGCGCUGGUAUGCAAACAUAAAUUUAGCAGCAACGUGUUUGCGGGGGAACAAAAUAUCUGGAAGCGGCCGUGAAGUGUCAUGUCGUCUCCGGCGGUUCUUGGCUGACUUUAACCUUUUUCUCCCCCCCUCCUCCUCCUCCUCCCCUCCUCUUCCUCCCCUCCACCCGUGUGAAGUGGAGCCGGAGAGCAGAGCCGAGCAGCGGAGAGGAGAGUGACUGGACGGACCGGGACCGACGGACCGGGAGCGCAGGGCACACAGCUGUCUGUCCACACUUUGAGAGUCUACCAGCACCGGAGAUGACAGCAGGCUGCUGGAGCUGGACCGGGCUGCUGCUCGCCGCCGUCUGUGUGGAGCAAAGUGGAACCUUCCAGAAGCUUUUUCUUCUCCUUUUUGCUGGAUGGGGAUUUGAAGGUGGUGGUGUGACCUUAAAAGACACUCAAGCAUCUCUCUGAGCACCGAGGUUAGUGCCUGUAAACACUGAUUUGGCUCCAGCCAAGGCGACGGAGCAAAGCAAAUCCUUUUUGUU